rnacentral:lncRNA from 1 species
AUGGUCUCACUUCUGGGCUGUUUGAGCCUGAAACUGGGUGAAACCUCCCCAAAAAGGCUCCUGCAUGGUUCUUCCCUAGGGGGAAGCAGCCGAGGCAGCGCAGGGCUCAGGAUCUGGCCCUGGAUGCACAUUAAGGGCAUGGGGGAGGCAGCGGGAGCAUCUGUAGGAUCCCCCAGCAUGGGGCAGAGAGGGAUUUGGGGUCGGGGCUGGUGCGGGGGAAGUUUCCGGGGAAGCAGGGGGGGGAGGGGCGGGUUUUUUUCAGUUUUUUUUUUUUUUUUUUUCAGCUUAAUUUCUCUGAACUUGUUACAAGUCUCCUUCCAUUUUGCUCACCGUUUCCAAGCGGCUAAAGAAAGGGAGGCCUGGCACGCCGACAGAGAUGCGAAGUGCACAAAAGGGAGCCGAGUGUGGGCCGAUAAUUCUGUAAUUGGAGCCGCUCGAGGCGAAAUUUUUUUUUUUUUUUUCAUUUUUUUUUUUCUUUUUUCGAGCCAGCCUAAAUGGGGAUCGCUGAAACCCUUCACAAUCGCUCCGCCAGGGCUCUUCUUUAAUGGAUUGCUCCGUUUAACUCUCUCUGUUUGUCACUGGCGAGAUGACAAGAGGAAUUAGUGUGCUGGAAAAUAGAAGGUGAAUGGCAGCUCCCCGGCCCGCUUCCACGGCCCCGCCGUCCCCGGGGUGCCGCGGUGCCAGAGCCGGCUUGCAGGCAGCUCUGCGGCCCCGACAGAGGAGGAGGGGAGCUCGCCUGCAAAAAAAAACAGCAGCUCCAGCACUAAAAUGAGCCUGUGGGGAAAAAUAUGGGGUCCGCACAUCGGGCUGGGGGGUCCUGGAGCACCACGCGCGGCUCCAGGCUGGGGUCAGGGUGGGGGGGACCUCAGUGUCCCGGCGAGGCCGAGUCCUAAACCUUUCUUGGGCUGCAAAACAGCUUUGUAUUUUGCUUUUACAGCCCGGAGGUUUGUUAUUUUUUAAAGCACUGUGGGUUAAUGUCAGCCUGCCGGGGGCGCGGGGCGUCUGGGUGGGAGCAGUCGCCGGCGCUGCUUUGGAGAUGCUCGGACACCUCCAUUGUCUGCAGGCAGCCUCGGAAAUUUUGGCAGCGCCGAUGCCCCGAGGCUAGAGAUGUACCUUUCGCUUUUCCCAUGAAAUUCCACUCCGGUUUGGCUGAGUUAUAGCAAAAAAAAAAAAAAAAAAAAAAAAAAGUUUGAAAAUCGCCAUUUCCCUUCUGCUGCCUGCAUUCCUCAGGAAGGCUUUGGCAGCCUGUCAGAACAAUAACUGAACGUGAACUUUCUGAAGAGCUGGCCCUGCCAAAGCAGCGAGCCGGCGCGGCGUGGCCUUUCCCUCACCCCCCUUCCCUCCCCGUGCCCACCCCUCGAGCACCCGUCCCGGGCACCCUUGGGUGCAGAUGUGCCCGCUCCAGGCAGCAGGAGGCAGAGCCCGGAGGGGCAAAGCAAGGCUCAGGUCCUCUCCCCGUGCAGGAGGGCAGUGCUCAGCACCCAUCCUGCCCCGUUACUCCUGGGGCUUUUGGGGCUUUAGGGGCAAAACCCCCCCGGAGCAGCGGGGAAAGGCCGGGUCAGGUUUUGCCCAGGGAUGCACGAGGUCCAGCGGCAAUAACCGA